rnacentral:sRNA from 1 species
AAAAAUUAUUCUUUUCGCACUAAAGAUCUAACAUGGCGCAAGGAAAAUAUAAACCUUCUAAGAUUCAAGUUCCUGGCAAGAAGAAAGAGAAGAAAAACAAAAAUAAAGGGGUCCUUAAAAAAGGUCACAUACUAAUAGCUCCAAAGAAAGCCAAACUAGUGGAAGCAGCCAAGUUAAAAAAG